UGCAAACUACGAAUACCGAAGAAUGUUAUCACGGGAGACACACGGCGGGUGCUAACGUCCGUCGUGAAGAGGGAAACAACCCAGACCGCCAGCUAAGGUCCCAAAGUCAUGGUUAAGUGGGAAACGAUGUGGGAAGGCACAGACAGCCAGGAUGUUGGCUUAGAAGCAGCCAUCAUUUAAAGAAAGCGUAAUAGCUCACUGGUCGAGUCGGCCUGCGCGGAAGAUGUAACGGGGCUAAACCAUGCACCGAAGCUGCGGCAGCGACACUAUGUGUUGUUGGGUAGGGGAGCGUUCUGUAAGCCUGCGAAGGUGUGCUGUGAGGCAUGCUGGAGGUAUCAGAAGUGCGAAUGCUGACAUAAGUAACGAUAAAGCGGGUGAAAAGCCCGCUCGCCGGAAGACCAAGGGUUCCUGUCCAACGUUAAUCGGGGCAGGGUGAGUCGACCCCUAAGGCGAGGCCGAAAGGCGUAGUCGAUGGGAAACAGGUUAAUAUUCCUGUACUUGGUGUUACUGCGAAGGGGGGACGGAGAAGGCUAUGUUAGCCGGGCGACGGUUGUC
rnacentral:rRNA from 1 species